GUGAGUCCCUCAAUACAAACACGGGGGUCUUGACCCUUUCGCAGCGUUCCUCUACUCCAUCGAAGGGAUCCACCCCGGGCGAAAUUGUGUCAGGCGGUGAAGCGCCUUCAGCGUUCGCUCCUUUCACCUGUGAGUCUUGCACCGUCACACCUGCUUCACGCUCAGGCCACGACUCUACGGUAUAUUCGUUCUUUUCAUCUGCGGAUAAUGCCUUGUCCUCAUGCGCGUGAGGCUCUGAUGUUUUCUCACGGGUGCAGAGGCUGUCUUCAAGAUCAGUCAUCAGGCCAUGAGAGCCCUUCUGCGAGGCAGAAUUCGCAUUGCAGUUGGGAAGUGUAUUGGGAAAGCUCGUACACGCCAAGGGCAAACCUUCACUCCGACAUUCUCUAUAUUCAGG
rnacentral:lncRNA from 1 species